UCAGAACCAGCUCUGGGCUCCUAGUGCGCUCUGGGUCUCCAUCUGGUUUGGGGGCUAUUUUGAUCCACCGGAUGCAGAGCAGCCGCCGAGAUCUGGGACUGGGUGGCUAGAGCGGCGCCUUUAUCUACAGAAGGACAAUUUAAAAACUAACGUCAAGCCCAGAGAACAAAUAAAUAAUUCCUCUUUCUGUUCAUAAUGCUCUUUCUGCCUGUUUCUACAGGAGAAGUUCUGCUCUCUCUCACACUGCUGGUUGAGAAGUGGCUCUCAGCUACCCAAGGUGCAGAACAGCUAGGAGGGACUAGGGUAAGAAGGAGGAGAGAGGAUGCUUUGUCUUCCU
ensembl:lincRNA Gm28215 predicted gene 28215